UAGGGAAUAUUGGACAAUGGGCGAAAGCCUGAUCCAGCAACGCCGCGUGCGCGAUGAAGGCCUUCGGGUUGUAAAGCGCUUUUCGGGGGGAUGAGGAAGGACAGUACCCCCGGAAUAAGUCUCGGCUAACUACGUGCCAGCAGCCGCGGUAAAACGUAGGAGGCAAGCGUUAUCCGGAUUUACUGGGCGUAAAGCGCGUGCAGGCGGUCGAGUAAGUCGGACGUGAAAGCUCCCGGCUCAACUGGGAGAGGCCGUUCGAUACUACUCGACUUGAGGGCAGUAGAGGAAGGUGGAAUUCCGGGUGUAGCGGUGAAAUGCGUAGAUAUCCGGAGGAACACCUGUGGCGAAAGCGGCCUUCUGGACUGCUCCUGACGCUCAGACGCGAAAGCUAGGGGAGCGAACGGG
rnacentral:rRNA from 1 species